rnacentral:rRNA from 1 species
UGGCGGCCGUAGCGCGGUGGUCCCACCUGACCCCAUGCCGAACUCAGAAGUGAAACGCCGUAGUGCCGAUGGUAGUGUGGGGUCUCCCCAUGUGAGAGUAGGGAACCGCC